rnacentral:rRNA from 1 species
AAGCAGCGGAGCGUGUGGUUUAAUUCGAUGAUACGCGAAGAACCUCACCCAGGUUUGACAUGCACGUGGUACUGAUCCGAAAGGUGAUGGACCCUUCGGGGAGCGUGCACAGGUGUUGCAUGGCCGUCGUCAGCUCGUGCCGUGAGGUGUUGGGUUAAGUCCCGCAACGAGCGCAGCCCCUGUCGCCAGUUGUAUUUUUCUGGCGAGACUGCCGAGAAAACCUCGGAGGAAGGAGGGGAUGAUGUCAGGUCAGCAUGGCCCUUACGCCUGGGGCUACACACACGCUACAAUGGGCAGUACAACGGGCAGCCAAGCCGCGAGGCGGAGCUAAUCCCAUCAAAGCUGUCCUCAGUUCGGAUUGCAGGCUGCAACUCGCCUGCAUGAAGCCGGAGUUGCUAGUAAACGCGCGUCAGCUAUAGUGCGUUGAAUACGUUCUCGGGCCUU